GACGAACGCUGGCGGCGUGCUUAACACAUGCAAGUCGAGCGCCUGUAGCAAUACAGGAGCGGCAGACGGGAGAGUAACACGUGGGAACGUACCUUUCAGUUCGGAACAACCAAGGGAAACUUUGGCUAAUACCGAAUACGCCCGUAAGGGGAAUGAUUUAUCGCUGAAAGAUCGGCCCGCGUCUGAUUAGCUAGUUGGUGAGGUAAUGGCUCACCAAGGCGACGAUCAGUAGCNGGUCUGAGAGGAUGAUCAGCCUCACUGGGACUGAGACACGGCCCAGACUCCUACGGGAGGCAGCAGUGGGGAAUAUUGGACAAUGGGCGCAAGCCUGAUCCAGCCAUGCCGCGUGAGUGAUGAAGGCCUUAGGGUUGUAAAGCUCUUUCAGCGGGGAAGAUAAUGACGGUACCCGCAGAAGAAGCCCCGGCUAACUUCGUGCCAGCCGCCGCUGUAAU
rnacentral:rRNA from 1 species